UGUUAUGUGGGAUGCUAGCUUCAUAGAAAAAUUGACAUAUAUAUCCACAAGCCCUAUCCCUCCUCUUUUGUCUUUCCUGAGUUGACACCUUUGAUUGAACCUUUUCAGGUGCACAAUUUAUUUUUUGCUUCCUCUUGACAAUUUCUUCUACACUAGGCUUGCAAAAUUUGUCCAUAGGGCCACCCAUUGAGCUGCUUGUUCCUGAUUUUGGCCUCAACACCACAACCUGAUUGUCAUUGUCUUCAUCACUUUCAUUUUCUCCAUCGGAGUGAUCUAUGUCUACACUAGAUCUG
rnacentral:lncRNA from 1 species